rnacentral:misc_RNA from 1 species
AACGGUCUAUACCUGCGGUACCUGCGGAGGGAUCAUUACUGAGAUAGGGUUUCUUCUGAGCCCGACCUCCAACCCUUUGCUUAAACCACCUUGUUGCUUUGGCAGGCCCCGUCCCUUUGGGGACCGCCGGGAGUGUUUAAUCACCCUUGGCCAGUGCCUGCCAGUAGCCAAUUUAAAUUCCUUUUUAACCAUGUUGUCUGAAAAAAACACAAGAAAUUCAAUUAAAACUUUCAACAAUGG